rnacentral:rRNA from 1 species
UGCAGUCGAGCGCACCUUCGGGUGAGCGGCGGACGGGUUAGUAACGCGUGGGAAUAUACCCUUUGGUACGGAAUAGCCUCUGGAAACGGAGAGUAAUACCGUAUGAGCCCUUCGGGGGAAAGAUUUAUCGCCAAAGGAUUAGCCCGCGUUAGAUUAGGUAGUUGGUGGGGUAAUGGCCUACCAAGCCUACGAUCUAUAGCUGGUUUUAGAGGAUGAUCAGCAACACUGGGACUGAGACACGGCCCAGACUCCUACGGGAGGCAGCAGUGGGGAAUCUUGGACAAUGGGGGCAACCCUGAUCCAGCCAUGCCGCGUGAGUGAUGAAGGCCUUAGGGUCGUAAAGCUCUUUCGCCUGUGAAGAUAAUGACGGUAGCAGGUAAAGAAACCCCGGCUAACUCCGUGCCAGCAGCCGCGGUAAUACGGAGGGGGUUAGCGUUGUUCGGAAUUACUGGGCGUAAAGCGCACGUAGGCGGACUGGAAAGUUGGGGGUGAAAUCCCAGGGCUCAACCCUGGAACUGCCUCCAAAACUAUCAGUCUAGAGUUCGAGAGAGGUGAGUGGAAUUCCGAGUGUAGAGGUGAAAUUCGUAGAUAUUCGGAGGAACACCAGUGGCGAAGGCGGCUCACUGGCUCGAUACUGACGCUGAGGUGCGAAAGUGUGGGGAGCAAACAGGAUUAGAUACCCUGGUAGUCCACACCGUAAACGAUGAAUGCCAGUCGUCGGGUAGCAUGCUAUUCGGUGACACACCUAAC